UACAUGGGGUGCAAACGUUGCUCGGAAUCAUUGGGCGUAAAGCGCACGUAGGCGGUUACUUAAGUCGGAUGUGAAAGCCCUCGGCUCAACUGAGGAAGUGCACCCGAAACUGAGUAGCUAGAGUACGAAAGAGGGUCGCGGAAUUCCCGGUGUAGAGGUGAAAUUCGUAGAUAUCGGGAGGAACACCGGUGGCGAAGGCGGCGACCUGGGUCGAGACUGACGCUGAGGUGCGAAAGCGUGGGGAGCGAACAGG
rnacentral:rRNA from 1 species